rnacentral:rRNA from 1 species
UACGGGAGAAAGCAGGGGACCUUCGGGCCUUGCGCUAUCAGAUGAGCCUAGGUCGGAUUAGCUAGUUGGUGAGGUAAUGGCUCACCAAGGCGACGAUCCGUAACUGGUCUGAGAGGAUGAUCAGUCACACUGGAACUGAGACACGGUCCAGACUCCUACGGGAGGCAGCAGUGGGGAAUAUUGGACAAUGGGCGAAAGCCUGAUCCAGCCAUGCCGCGUGUGUGAAGAAGGUCUUCGGAUUGUAAAGCACUUUAAGUUGGGAGGAAGGGCAGUAACUUAAUACGUUGCUGUUUUGACGUU